rnacentral:rRNA from 1 species
CCUACGGGGUGCAGCAGUGGGGAAUAUUGCGCAAUGUGCGAAAGCCUGACGCAGCGACGCCGCGUGAGGGAUGAAGGUCUUCGGAUCGUAAACCUCUGUCAGCAGGGACGAACGGUCACUGUGCUAAUCAGCAGUGAAUUGACGGUAUCUGCAAAGGAAGCACCGGCUAACUCCGUGCCAGCAGCCGCGGUACUACGGAGGGUGCGAGCGUUAAUCGGAAUUACUGGGCGUAAAGCGCUCGUAGGCGGUAUGGCAAGUCAAGGGGGAAAUCCCCGCGCUCAACGUGGGAACUGCCUUUGAAACUGGCAAACUGGAGUGUGUGAGAGGAUAGUGGAAUUCCAGGUGUAGGAGUGAAAUCCGUAGAUAUCUGGAGGAACAGCAGUGGCGAAGGCGACUAUCUGGCACAUAACUGACGCUGAGGAGCGAAAGCGUGGGUAGCAAACAGGAUUAGAUACCCGGGUAGUC